rnacentral:rRNA from 1 species
AUGCCGAUACCUCCAAAUCGGAGGAACGACGCGGAACGGCUCGUGCUCACCCCUCGUGUCUCCCUCGGCGGCCCGCUUAUCUCCCUCUCUCGUCUCUCUCUCUCUCUCUCUCUCUCUCAUCCGACAGGAACAGGCAGGCGGCGCUGGCAGGAGGUGAGCGGCGGCAGCGGGAACCGGCAGGCGGCGGCGCUGGAAGAAGGCGAGCGGCCGCAGGCGGUGCCUGCUCUGCUUGUACUUGUCCCUGCCUCCGCACCCACCAUCAGCGCACCAGGCAGUCGCCCCCUCCCCCUACGCCUUGAGUUCUUGGCUGCUGGACCACUUCCUCGGCCGCAGAUCAAGCCAUGA